CCGCGGCGGGGCUGGGAACACGGCCCGGAAGGGGGUUCCAGGGCCUCCGCUUGCUCCCCCCGCUCCCGCGGGCUUGCGGGCGCCGGGCCCGCCUGCCAGCGCUUGGGGUAACCGCCGCUCCGCUCCCGGCCCGCACCGAAAUCCAGGGGAAAGAAAAGAAGUGCAUUUCGUGAUGGAAAACGGUGAUCAAUCUUCAUGAUCCGUUCCGUGGCGAGCUGGGAAAAAAAAAAAUGCAAUUGCUAAUCAAUGUCUGAACAGUCUGAAGCUCCGGAAGAGAUCCAAGGAGUCACUAUCAAACUAUCCUGUAGCAUGAGAUCAUUGCACACAGAAGAACAGUCAUAAAAUAAGCAACUAUCUACAAAGGUCUGAAAGGGCUGCAUCCCUCUUGUGUUUCCUCUUUUUGCCAUGGAAAUACUGAUGGUGUGAUUUGCUGCCUUGAUGUUGUUUGUUUGUGACUGAGGUACCAUGGCUUGAGUUUGUUGGACCUUGGAAGCCUUUGUUAGAAGAGCGAAAUAACCGUGCUGAUCCAUGCUGUAAAAGGAAGGGAACAUGCUAAGUCAGUGCUGCCAAGAAAAAAGUAUGCAUUUACACAGUUCUGUAUUACUAGAGAACGAGGAUGCUAACUCCUGAAGGUUGUACAUGUGAAGUUAGGCCAUUGCUUAGACUGCAGCAUAGUACCAGCAAUCUUUCACUUCUGUGGCUGCAAACAAAUGCUCAUCUCUAGCCCCAAAACCAUGCAGGUCAAGUGAGAGAGAACUACAGCACUCUAAAUUUUGGAAAGGACAAUCAUCCACAAUGCAAUCAAAAAAGUGCAACAACUGUACAAUGUUUUACAGAAACAGAAGUGCAUAAUCCAAGAGAAGAGAUGUUGAAGAUUGCCCAAAUCACAUCUGUGCAAAAUUUAGUCAACACUCCUCUAAGACCAAGACUAAUUUUAUACCACAUCUUUUUAAAGACUUAAGACCAUCUCCAAAUUCGCAUAUUUACAUUCCAGCACCUCUUUUAGCACAGAGCAACCUCUGUUUAAUACACAUGAGCACAGACUAAUAGUUUAUGUAAGGCCUGUUUUGCAAACUGUCUGGAUAUCAGCUAGAGAUUGUUAGUAAGUAGGAGGCAGCAAGUUUUCCUGGAACUAUUUUGCAAAAAUAAUACUCAAAAAGAUUCCGGACUAUCUUUCAUAACUGCAUAUAUCCAAAGGUGCUUUGAAAUAACAGUUCUUCAGAUUACUGAGUUGUCAUAGAUGUAUUCUUUUACAUGAGAAAUUCCCAAAAUGCAUACAUUUUUGGUAGUUCUCAUCACUGGUAUCUGUCUUGGGGGGAAAAUGAGAGGGACUUUUACGCAUCUCCAUCUCCCUUAAUCAAAUACACUUCAACAAGGAUCAACAGUCAAGACAGCAGCCAGUUUAGUUUCAGUACAUAUUUUUGCUAAAUAUUUUUCACUAACUGUACGUAAGUCUCACUAGCUCUGGCAUAUUCUGCAGUAAAGACCAGACUGACACAGUUUUUGCAUAGAGUAAUUUUAUACAACACAACUGUAUGCUGCUGGCAAACCUAGAUUUCCUAGAAUAUCAAAUAAAAGUCAAUCCAAUUU